rnacentral:rRNA from 2 species
CUUUUGACGGUGGAUCUCUUGGCUCACGCAUCGAUGAAGAACGCAGCCAGCUGCGAUAAGUAGUGUGAAUUGCAGAAUUCAGUGAAUCAUCGAAUCUUUGAACGCAAAUGGCGCUCUUGGGUUCUCCCAGGAGCAUGUCUGUCUGAGUGUC